UGCGUAGGCGGCCCUGUGUGUCAGAGGUGAAAUCCCACGGCUCAACCGUGGAAUUGCCUUUGAAACUGCAGGGCUUGAGUCCGAGAGGGGAAGGUGGAAUUCCUGGUGUAACGGUGAAAUGUGCAGAUAUCAGGAAGAACACCAGUGGCGAAGGCGGCCUUCUGGCUCGGAACUGACGCUGAGGCACGAAAGCUAGGGUAUCGAACAGGAUUAGAUACCCUGGUAGUCC
rnacentral:rRNA from 1 species